CUUUCUCUUUUUCUUUUUCUUUCUCUUUUUCUUUUAAUUUACGUUUGGAGUAUUUGAAACACAAACGGGG
rnacentral:ribozyme from 1 species